UACGGGGGGGGGCAAGCGUUGUUCGGAAUUACUGGGCGUAAAGCGUGCGUAGGCGGUUUGUUAAGUCUGUCGUGAAAGCCCCGGGCUCAACCUGGGAAUGGCGAUGGAAACUGGCGAGCUAGAGUACGGUAGAGGAGAGUGGAAUUCCCGGUGUAGCAGUGAAAUGCGUAGAGAUCGGGAGGAACAUCAGUUGCGAAGGCGGCUCUCUGGACCAGUACUGACGCUGAGGCACGAAAGCGUGGGGAGCAAACGGGG
rnacentral:rRNA from 1 species